rnacentral:rRNA from 1 species
UACGAAGGGGGCUAGCGUUGCUCGGAAUCACUGGGCGUAAAGCGCACGUAGGCGGAUCUUUAAGUCAGGGGUGAAAUCCUGGAGCUCAACUCCAGAACUGCCUUUGAUACUGGGGAUCUCGAGUCCGGGAGAGGUGAGUGGAACACCGAGUGUAGAGGUGAAAUUCGUAGAUAUUCGGAAGAACACCAGUGGCGAAGGCGGCUCACUGGCCCGGUACUGACGCUGAGGUGCGAAAGCGUGGGGAGCAAACAGG